UGCCUACGGGAGGCAGCAGUGGGGAAUAUUGCACAAUGGGGGAAACCCUGAUGCAGCGACGCCGCGUGAGUGAAGAAGUAUUUCGGUAUGUAAAGCUCUAUCAGCAGGGAAGAAGCAGACGGUACCUGACUAAGAAGCCCCGGCUAACUACGUGCCAGCAGCCGCGGUAAUACGUAGGGGGCAAGCGUUAUCCGGAUUUACUGGGUGUAAAGGGAGCGUAGACGGCUAAGCAAGUCUGAAGUGAAAGCCCGGGGCUUAACCCCGGGACUGCUUUGGAAACUGUUAAGCUAGAGUGCUGGAGAGGU
rnacentral:rRNA from 1 species